rnacentral:rRNA from 1 species
UGGGGGAUAUUGCACAAUGGGCGAAAGCCUGAUGCAGCGACGCCGCGUGGGGGAUGAAGGCUUUCGGGUUGUAAACCUCUUUCGCUAUCGAACAAGGCCCGCUUAGGGUGGGUUGAGGGUAGGUGGAGAAGAGCGCCGGCUAACUACGUGCCAGCAGCCGCGGUAAUACGUAGGGCGCGAGCGUUGUCCGGAAUUAUUGGGCGUAAAGGGCUUGUAGGCGGCUUGUUGCGCCUGCUGUGAAAACGCGGGGCUUAACUUCGCGCGUGCAGUGGGUACGGGCAGGCUUGAGUGUGGUAGGGGUGACUGGAAUUCCAGGUGUAGCGGUGGAAUGCGCAGAUAUCUGGAGGAACACCGAUGGCGAAGGCAGGUCACUGGGCCAUUACUGACGCUGAGGAGCGAAAGCAUGGGUAGCGAACAGG